UUGGAGGGCAAGUCUGGUGCCAGCAGCCGCGGUAAUUCCAGCUCCAAUAGCGUAUAUUAAAGUUGUUGCAGUUAAAAAGCUCGUAGUUGAAUUUUAGGCCUGGCCGGGCGGUCCGUCUUUGGCGAGUACUGUCUGUUGUCGGGUCUUCCUUCUGGUGAACCAGUAUGUCCUCUAUUGGGUGUGUUGGGGAGCCAGGACCAUUACCUUGAAAAAAUUAGAGUGUUUAAAGCAGACUAUCGUCUGAAUACAUUAGCAUGGAAUAAUGAAAUAGGACGGACUGAUUCUAUUUCGUUGGUUUCUAGGAUCACCGUAAUGAUUAAUAGGGAUAGUUGGGGGCAUUAGUAUUCAAUUGUCAGAGGUGAAAUUCUUGGAUUUAUUGAAGACUAACUACUGCGAAAGCAUUUGCCAAGGAUGUUUUCAUUAAUCAAGAACGAAAGUUAGGGGAUCGAAGACGAUCAGAUACCGUCGUAGUCUUAACCAUAAACUAUGCCGACUAGGGAUCGGACGAAGUUAAUUUUAUAAUGACGCGUUCGGCGCCUUACGGGAAAC
rnacentral:rRNA from 1 species